GGCAGCAGUUAAGAAUCUUGCGCAAUGGGGGAAACCCUGACGCAGCGACGCCGCGUGAAGGAUGAAGGCCCUCGGGUUGUAAACUUCAAUAGACAGGGAAGAAUUUUGACGGUACCUGUCGACAGCACCGGCUAAAUACGUGCCAGCAGCCGCGGUAAUACGUAUGGUGCAAGCGUUGUUCGGAUUUACUGGGCGUAAAGCGUAUGUAGGCGGUUGGGUAAGUCAGAUGUGAAAUCCCGGGGCUCAACCUCGGAACUGCAUCCGAUACUGCCCGACUUGAGGGUUGGAGAGGAGACUGGAAUUCAUGGUGUAGCAGUGAAAUGCGUGGAUAUCAUGAGGAAGACCAAUGGCGAAGGCAGGUCUCUGGACAACUCCUGACGCUGAGAUACGAAGGCCAGGGUAGCGAAAAGGAUUAGAUACCCUUGUAGUCCUGGCAGUAAACGGUGUGCGCUUGGUGUGGGGGGAUUCGACC
rnacentral:rRNA from 1 species